GGACCCGCACAAGUAGUGGAGCAUGUGGUUUAAUUCGAAGAUACGCGCAGAACCUUACCAACACUUGACAUGUUCGUCGCGACUCUAAGAGAUUGGAGUUUUCGGUUCGGCCGGACGAAACACAGGUGCUGCAUGGCUGUCGUCAGCUCGUGUCGUGAGAUGUUGGGUUAAGUCCCGCAACGAGCGCAACCCUCACUUUUAGUUGCCAUCAUUAAGUUGGGCACUCUGAAAGAACUGCCAGUGAUAAGCUGGAGGAAGGUGGGGGAUGACGUCAAGUCCUCAUGGCCCUUACGUGUUGGGCUACACACGUGCUACAAUGGUAUCUACAACAGGAAGCAAGACGGCGACGUUAAG
rnacentral:rRNA from 1 species